rnacentral:rRNA from 1 species
UAUGUUAAUAGCAUAUCAUUUGACGUUAGCUGCAGAAGAAGCACCGGCUAACUCCGUGCCAGCAGCCGCGGUAAUACGGAGGGUGCGAGCGUUAAUCGGAAUUACUGGGCGUAAAGCGCAUGCAGGUGGUUUGUUAAGUCAGAUGUGAAAGCCCGGGGCUCAACCUCGGAAUUGCAUUUGAAACUGGCAAACUAGAGUACUGUAGAGGGGGUAGAAUUUCAGGUGUAGCGGUGAAAUGCGUAGAGAUCUGAAGGAAUACCGGUGGCGAAGGCGGCCCCCUGGACAGAUACUGACACUCAGAUGCGAAAGCGUGGGGAGCAAACAGGAUUAGAUACCCUGGUAG